AGUGAACGCUGGCGGUAGGCCUAACACAUGCAAGUCGAACGGCAGCACAGUAAGAGCUUGCUCUUACGGGUGGCGAGUGGCGGACGGGUGAGGAAUACAUCGGAAUCUACUUUUUCGUGGGGGAUAACGUAGGGAAACUUACGCUAAUACCGCAUACGACCUACGGGUGAAAGCAGGGGAUCUUCGGACCUUGCGCGAUUGAAUGAGCCGAUGUCGGAUUAGCUAGUUGGCGGGGUAAAGGCCCACAAGGCGACGAUCCGUAGCUGGUCUGAGAGGAUGAUCAGCCACACUGGAACUGAGACACGGUCCAGACUCCUACGGGAGGCAGCAGUGGGGAAUAUUGGACAAUGGGCGCAAGCCUGAUCCAGCCAUACCGCGUGGGUGAAGAAGGCCUUCGGGUUGUAAAGCCCUUUUGUUGGGAAAGAAAAGCAGCAGGAUAAUACCCCGCUGUUCUGACGGUACCCAAAGAAUAAGCACCGGCUAACUUCGUG
rnacentral:rRNA from 1 species